rnacentral:lncRNA from 1 species
GUCAGGUGUUAUCGAGACCACAACUCGGUGACCACAUGGGUCAGCAUCCAUCAGCUCAUAUGUCUGCUGCUCCCUAUGCCAGAAAUUCAACUGCCAUCUCAGUUCCUCCCAGACUCGCAACAUUUCUAGAAUCCAGUACCGUUCUACCUCAGACGCCAUACCCACCAAUGAGACGGAGUAACUUCAAUCCACCUCACCAGAUGCCCAAUUUGCCAGGUCCUCUGCCUCCAAGGCCAGGAAAUUAUAUUCAAAUUCAGCAAAACUAUCCUGCUCACGCAACUCGACCUGAGAUCCCACGUGCUCCAAAUCAACAGUUCAGCAACCACCUUGCAUUUUCCUCUGGCAAGUCGGCGUCUGGUCCUGGAGGAGGACAGCAACUUUAUGAUCCAUUCUCACCCACUUCCGCGAAUCAACAGCAAGGAGGUAAUCCAGGAAAGAUGUGAAAGCAAGGGAUUGAUGUACACUAAUGCGAUUUGAUUGCCUUGGUUGGAGUUACAAUUUCGGAUUUAGUGAAGCAGCUAACAAAACAAGAAUUUGGAGUUGUUGUAGUCUAUAGCUCAUAUUAACAUGUUGCUGUUGUCUGAUUUCUGACGGGACAAAACUUCUUCAUAGAAACACAUUUCGUUACCUUUUUAUCAAUCAAUUUGUUUCCCUUUCGUUAAAAGAGUACGAAAGAGUACCGCAUUUAUAUUACAAAUCAGUUAAAAGGGACCAAGCAAACCGAACAGUCCGGCGAGCUAAUUCACUAGUCUACAGCUGCUAAGAACGCGGGUGAAGAAAAACAAAAUAACAAAAACAAACAAUUAAUAUUUAUUGAUAUUAGGGUGAAACCCUUUCCAAAAAGUAAAAUACCGGCCAAAACUAAAAGCAAGACAAUAAUAUUGUUACUUGUAUAAAAUUCACAAGCUUGAUAAGACUUUAUCUAAUACAGUUUAACUUGAUCGUUAUAUGUGGAAAACAAUUACAUAUGAAAAAUAUGUUAUCAAAUGUUGCUCGUUCCUGACAUAAAGGAGUCUGCAUGUGAUUUUAUGCAGAUAUCUAGCUAGUACAUUACAACUAUGCUUCCCUGCCGAUCGUUUUGUUUUUGAGGUUUUCUCCUUGCUUGCAAUAGCCUUAUGUAUAGUAGUGAUGACAAAACAGUACUACGAGGCCUGAGGCCACAUAGAUGACAGAGGCCGUACAUUUGAACCAGACAGGAAAUGGGAUUGUGACGGAAAUGAAGAAAGCGGUGACUCCAAAGAAGACCCCGAAAUAAUGGAAGAGAUGAACUAUUCUCCGUGGAGAGUUGGAGUGCUGGAUAAAUUUGCUAACCAUUAUACAAGUAAAGGCUAGUAGGAUUGCGAGACCGAGAACGCAAAAAGUUAGAGGGAGAUGGUCGGAAUGAAGUUGGAUGGGAACGAGAGCCAUUCCAAUAGCUGUCGACAAGCAAUACGCCAUGAUAAUCUUUGCCCAGUCUAAGUUGUGCUUCGAAGUCCUAGAGCUGGUGGCCGUGGCUGGCCGCAGCGGUGGUUGAUCAGCCGGUACUAUUGCUUCUGGGUCAAGAUUAUUAUCCAACGCGUUGAUGACCUUGUUGAGUUGUUGCUGAAAAAAUGCCCGAAGGCACCGAUAAGCACUAGCAAUAUUGUUCUUCAUACUUGUUUGCUAAUAAGGAAGGGGAGAAGGGGGGAGGAGUUGGUUUAGAAAGAGGCGCAGGAAGGAUGUCUGGAGAGGGGAGGGGGGGGGGGUGGUUAUACACUUCAUGAUGGGGCCCGGGGGGGAUAAAGUGCGACGGUGGGGACAAAAAAGCAAAGAAUGAGACACCACAUCCCCUAAAAUAAAUUGUAGAACAGGAGUCGUAGCAGGAGUCGUAGCAAAUAAUGAGACACCACAUCCCCUUAAAUGAAUCGUUACUCGGGUAGAGUAGACUAGUAGAGCAUCAACCUGCCAAAAAUGGGGCCCGGGAGAGACAAAGAGUGUCUGGGGCCGGAGAGGAUCCUCUCCUGAGCAGAUGGAGAUAUCCUCCUGAUCAGAUCCAUCGUUCAAUUUUUAUUCAACGAUUAUAAUUAUUAUAACUUUAUAAAGAUUCCUUAUUUGUAACCGUUGGAUAAAAAUUAAACGGUCUGAUGGACCUGAUCAAAAGGAUCCUCUCCAUUAGCUCAGGAGAGGAUCCUGAUCCUCUGGGGCAAGUGAGAUGCCACUGUGGCAGAGGCUUGGGAAAGAACGAGGAAAGGAGGCGGGACCCAUGAAGUGAUCAAUUUACGGGGUGGGACCCAUGAAGUCAUGAAUUGAUCAUUUUACUGGGUGGGACCCAUGAAGUGAUGAAGUGAUCAUUUUACGUUACGGGGUGGGACCAUGAAGUGAUCAACUUAUGGGCUUGAUCUAGAGAUCCUAAGGAUUCCGUGAUUAUGAUCGUUCAAUGUAUAUCGUAUGAUUAUAAAUUAUUUUAAAAUUUAAAAUUUAAAAUUAAUUAUAAAUAGUACUUAACAAAAAACUGAUCACAAGAUAUACAAUGAACGGUUGCGAUCACGGAUUCCGAAUAAAUGAAUCUGUCAAGGAUCCUUUUCCACGGGGUGGCACCAUGAAGUGAUUAUUUUACAGGGUGGGGCCCUUUCUUUUAAUUUGUUUUGUCAAAGUGGAAACGAUCCCCCUCUUUUUAUCCUUUAUUUUUGAUAGUUUUGUUUCUGAUCAUCCCUUUUUUAUUCUUUAUUUUUUAUAGUUUUGUUUUGUCAAAGUGCAAACGAUCCCCCUUUUUUUAUUCUAUUCUUUAUUUUUAGGACAAUUCAGGACACUUCAUACUGCCCAUUCUAUGUGGCACAAUAAGAACUUAACACGUGUAACUUUAAAAAAAAAAAAGAACCGAGCCUUGUUAACGGCGUCUUCUCCCAUCCCAAUGACAGAGGACUUCAAUCGUCCUUCUCCUUCCCGCUCACACUACCUCUCCCUCCUUCUCACACUACCUCUCCCUCUCCCUCUCUCUCUCUCAGACUUCCUCUCCUUCUCGCUUAGACCACCAUCCACCUAGAGCGGCGAUGGCGAGCUCCGAGCAACGACGGCAAGCGGCAAAAUUGAAUAGAAAAGCCAGACAAUCUUGAAAAACAAGGAAUCGGGUAUGUUUUCGAAGAAUUACAUCUUUCUUUUUCUCCAUUCUCAAUUUUUAUGAUGUGAGCAGGGUUUUGCUCCCUGUCCUUCUCUCUCUCAUACUACAUCUCCUUCUUGCUCAGACCACCAUCCACCUAAAGCGGCGAUGGCGAGCUCCGAACAACGACGACAAGCAGCAAAAUUGAAUAGAAAAGUCAGACGAUCUUGAAAAACAAGGAAUCGGGUAUGUUUUCGAAGAAUUACAUCUUUCUUUUUCUCCGCUCUUAAUUUUUAUGUUCAAUUUUUAUGAUGUGAGCAGGGUUUUCUCUUAUUAGGGUUAGCUCUUGUCAUUGUUAAUUUUGUUUGAAUUAUUUAAAAAUUGAAUUGAAUUAUUUUCACUUCUCCAUAUUCUUUUCAAUUCCAAUGGAACCGAAGGAUCCAUUCUCUGAUGUAUUAUUCGAUAGUAGGCUAUUUUCGUCCAUUUUGUUAUUGCUAUUGGUGUUGGUAUAUCAGGGAUUGCAGCUGCACGAAUUCUGGGUUUUUUGGGUUUUUUUUUAUUUUAGUUUUGAGUAUGUUUUCUUUUCUUUUUUUGUGUUUGAAUACAAGUAGGUUGAAGAGCUGCAUAAAGGACAGCCACAAGGGCAAAGCCAUACAAAGCAGAGUUUCCAACACCACGAUGUCAACCAUUUUGCCUGUGAGUAUUAGAUUCCUUUUUCCAUUUCCAUGCCCCUUGAUUGGUUUUACAAUUUGGUCACUUUUUAAAGAUGUAUUUGUAAGAAUAUGAACAUGAGAUUGGGUGUUUUUUACAGUGAACGGAUAAGUCCAAUUAGAAUAAGAAAGCCUUAUGAGAAGCUGUGAACAAAUCCUUGUUUGUGAAGGAUUCUGUCAAGAAUACUUGAACUGAUAUGGUUUGGAAAACAUAAGUUGUUUUCUAUAAGGAUUGUAAUAGGAAAUCCUUGUCAAGUUAUAAGAAGGAUAUAUAUAUAUAUAUAUAUAUAUAUAUAUAUAUAUAUAUAUGUAUGUGUGUGUGUGUGUGUGUGUGUGUGUGUGUGUGUGUGUGUGUGUGUGUUUAUAUAUAUAUAAAUGUUGUAACCUCUACUCUCACAGAUGUGUGCUCAGUUAGAUCCGAGUCCUAUUCUUGGUUAGAGCUUAAAUCAAUCUGACAGAGAGGAGAAGGAUUGCAACACCGAGACUGAAUGGUAGCAGUUAUGGCAUAUUCCAAUGGCAGUUCAUCAGGUUAGUGGUAUUGCAGAGUUCUUUAUUUAUUUAUAUAAAAGGUUUCAUGCUUUCUUGAUUGUGAUUUCUGUGACUUAAAUCUUGUUCUUGGCAAUAUAAGUUUACAGUAUUGUGUUCCAUUUUUUUUGGGAGUUGUCAAGAUUUUAGUAAUCAACUCGUUCCAUUUUUUAAGAUGUAUGCCCAUAUAACGAAAGCUACCAUGUUCAUAUGUUUUCCAAAAUAUCUCGUAUCUCAUAAUCUAUGGGUCAUUUGUGUGCAGGAUGUUCAUUACGAGGACAAGGAUGGAAGUACAGGCUAAUCCUGGCUAUCACUGACGGGUCUCUAAUGCCUAGAGUUGAAGGAGUUGAUGUCUCUAUCUGAUAUAAAUAAUGUCUUUGUAUAUGCUGAUGACUAUGGUCUAAUAUGGACAUAGAUUGUUUCUCAAAUUGGUAUGAAAGGGUCUUAGUUUCGUUUAUAAUUUUGGGUUGGAAUCUAUAAAUCCAUAACGAGUAAGAGACUUAUGUUUUGUAUUUGUAUAUUUUGAUAGCCUCUUUCAAAUCCUCUCUAUAAGUCAAACAGAGUUUACAACCUUAUGUAUUCUCAAGGAAAACAUUUUUGUUUUCAUGUACAUAUGAAAGUGUUUUUCUCCUUUAUUUAGUUUUACUUAAUUAGGGCAUUGUCAUUUGUGUAUGUGGUCAGAGUGUUAUGUGUAUUGAUGCAGAGCUACAUUGAGAUACCUACAGAGGAGUACAUGAGAAAAUCAACAUAUGAAACCAGUUUGGCUCCUUAGUAGUACAUGAAAAAUAAGACGUUUAGUGAAGGGAAAUUUUGUCGUUUGCUGAACAAAAACCAAAAUAGCAAUAGCAAUCUCCAAAAUUAUCACCAAAGUAGCACUUGACUUGUGAUAUCCCUUCAGUCACACUUGUUUAAUACAGUACAAGUUCAACAAAAUGAUUACAACAUCUCCAAUUCAAUAGAAAUUGCCUCCAUGGUCUUUAUCUUCUCAUUUUCCAAGCCCCUUGUUUGCACUGUUACUUUGUGAAAGGUCAUGAUGGUGCAUUAUAACUUCCUAUAAAUUACAAAACAAAUUAUAUUAUAUAAAAUCAUUCCUAAAAACAAUAAGAAGCAAAUUGACUUGACCUAUUAAACACAUGGCUCAAAUUUUUGGCAACAUUUUGAUAAAUAUGCCAAACACACAAGUGAUGGUGAGAUUCAUUAAAAACUUCUGAUAUUGCUUUAGCCAUUGCAGCAGAUUGAUCUGUCAAUAUGGUCUUUGGUUGCUUCCCAGACAUUGCUUCCAAGAAAGUCUCAAAUAGCCAUGUAAAAGAAUCAUCACUUUCUUCAUAUAGCAAAGCUGCACCGAAAACUAUGGUUUGUUUAUGAUGAUUAACACCAAGAAUUGGUGCAAAAGGUUUACCAUACUCAUUUGUCCGAUACGUUGUGUCAAAACAAAUGACAUCUACAAAGAGACCAUAAUCAAUUAUUGAACGUGAAUCUGCCCAAAACAUAUUUUUGAUCAUAUCAUCUUCAUCAAGCUGCACCGAGUAAAAACUAGACGAGUCCUUCACUUGCAUUUUAUGAAAAUAUUGCAAUAUAGCCCCAGCAUCUCCUUUUUCCAUGUUUGUCUUUCGCUUUUGAUAUAUGUAAUUUCGAUAAUCUUUAUCAAGAAACCCAAGAUUCUCUCGCCCACCAACUUCUCUGCUCAUCAAUUCCAUAGUUGCUUUUAUUUAUAUUCAUGACUUAUCUGCAUCAUCAACAUGCGCCUUUUGAGCUCAGGACAUCUUCCGAUUAAUCUUCAACAUGUGCUUCAUAGGGGUUCGAACCAAAGCACGAUUAUGAUUUGCAUCAAAGGAAACAAUCUUAAAUUUUCCAUUCUUUUUAAGAAGGCAAGUCAUGUGGGCUUGACAACCGACCCUUGAAACUGGUUGAGUAUAAGUUGUACCUUUAAUUGGCUCAUCAUUUCUUCGAAAACCUUGUCUUGAACAAGUGUAAGUUACUCUUGUUACAAUUCCUGCAUUGUUUUUUUUCCAAUGAUGCUUCCUCACGUCAAAACCCUUAUCUCUAGCAUAGUUGCAGUAAACAUCGUAUGCGCUCUCUUUAGAACAAAACUCCAUUCCAAGUUCUAGAUCUCCCAUUAUUUCUUUGCUUUUAUUCAACUGAGGAGGUCCCAAAGAACCAUCAUGACUUUAAGAUUGACAAGUAGGUGAAGAACUUACACCUUGUAAAUCAUCUUCAUCACUAGGUAAUGACUCAUUGUCUGAUCUUGUAGGUUCUUCGUUCUCCAUAACCUGCCACAUAACAUUAAUACUAGAGACAUGAAAUAUGCUCUCCAUUAUUCAUUUGCUUUUAUUUUGUUGCAUCUCAAUAUGGGACGAAACAGAGCACACUCAAUACAAAUAUUGCAAUUUUCAAAUCCAAAGCCGCAAGCUUUGUGAAGAAAAACAAGCAUCCAAAAUUUCGAAUGCAAAUUCAAAUCAUACAACACUGAAAACAUACCAUCAAAUACAACAGAGAAUGGAUCAUCUGGAUAGGUGCCUAGGUGGAUGGUCGUUGUUGUUGUUGCUCAGAGUUCGCCGUCGCUGCUCUGGGUGUAUGAUGGUUUGAGCGAGAAUGGGAGGUAGUCUGAGAGAGAGAUGGAGAAGGAGAAAACCCUGCUCACAUCAUACCAACACCAAUAACAAUAACAAAAUGGACGAAAAUAGCCUACUAUCGAAUAAUACAUCAGAGAAUGGAUCCUUCGGUUCCAUUGAAUUGAAAAGAAUAUGGAGAAGUGAAAAGAAUUGAAUUCAAUUUUCAAAUAAUUCGAACAAAAUUAACAAUGACAAGAGCAAACCCUAAUAAGAGAAAACCUUGCUCACAUCAUAAAAAAUUAAAAAUCGAACAUAAAAAUUGAGAAUGGAGAAAAGAAAAAUGUAAUUCUUCGAAAACAUACCCGAUUCCUUGUUUUUCAAGAUUGUCUGGCUUUUCUAUUCAAUUUUGCCGCUUGUCGUCGUUGCUCGAAAGCUCGCCAUCGCCGCUCUAGAUGGAUGGUGGUCUGAGCGAGAAGGAAAGGUAGUCUGAGAGAAAGAGGGAGGGAGAAGGAGAGGUAACGUGAGCGGGAGGGAGACGUAGUGUGAGCGGGAAAGAGAAUGAUGAUUUAAGUCCUCUGUCAUUGGGAUGGGAGAAGAAGACGCCGUUAACUAGGCUCAGUUCUUUUUUGAAAAAAAAAAGUUACACGUGUUAAGUUCUUAUUGUGCCACGUUUGGGCAGUAUGAAGGGUUCUGACUGUUCAGGACUCAAGUAUUGUCCUUAUUUUUAUAGUUUUGUUUACGAUCCCCCUUUUUUUAUUCUUUAUUUUUUAUAGUUUUGUUUUGUCAAAGUGGAAAUGAUCCCCCUUUUUUUAUUCUUUAUUUUUUAUAGUUUUGUUAAAAGCAAGAUCUUAAAAGACGUUAAGCGGAUGUUGGGUUGAGACUUAGCACUUAGACGGUCUAAACGGAUUUGAGUAUAUUAAUUAUAUAAUAUGUAAAUUAGUUAAAUUUAAACAUUAAAUAAUAUGUCAUUUAAAAAUGAAAGUAUAUAUACAUAUACACAGUGGCGGAUUCAGAAUUUUAAACUCGGGGGGUCCCAAUAACAAAGGUAAAAAAAUUUAUAGAUUAAAAUGACAUUUAAAAGUUAAAUUAUAGUACAUUUUAUUGAUGAAUCAUACGUAAAACAACAUUACAAGCUAUAAAAUCUAAUUCAAGCAUCUACAAUGAAGUUUCAUAGUCUAAAAAUGUUCCAUUUGCAAAUAUACUCUUUGAAUCUCAACUUGAAUAUUAGGAGGAUAAUCCUUCAUUCAGAUUCUUUUUCCAGGGUCUCUCUCAAGAUUAUUCAAAUUAAUAUCACACUCAUUUUGUCUUGAACUUGAACUACCCAAACAAAUAGAUCGUGUUAUUGGUUUUGGCUUGAAAAAUCUUUCCAUAUUUCUUAUCUAUACACUACAUAUUAAUAACAAAACACAAAAUCAUAUACCAAUUAAUCAAUAAACAAAAUUCCAAUAAUCAAAUGAGUAUACAAAAAUAAAACAUAUCAAUAAUAGAUUAUAAAAUCUCCAUCAAUAUAUAAUAUAAUUUAGUUGAGAUUGGAUUAGAAUACCAAAAAAUCUUUUUUGAAUUUUGAACCAAAUGGUGGUGGUGUGGAGAUUUAAAACAAAUUGAGAUAUGAUAUUGGAGUAAAAUUAAAAUAUGAGAUUGGGUGGGAUUUUAGGAUUAUGAGAAUAGGGAAAUUGAGGAUUGGAUAUGUGAAAAUUGGGGGUUUCAGGUUUUGGAUGGGAGAAGGGAUGGUAAGGUAUGGGGAUUCAGGAAGAGUGACGGAGGCCUUGGGGAAUUAAAACAAAAUGGAAGAAAACGGCAGCGUUUUACCGUUGUUUAAACUUAAAUAAAAAAUAAAAAAAUAAAACGACUUGGGCCAAGGUUGAAAUGGGCAAAUUUUCUUUCUUCCUCUGCGCGGUCUUCUUCCCCAUCAUGACACUGCUGCUGCAACUAUAACUGCACAUAGUUCAUCCGAGUACGAGGGGUCCCCGGAAAAUUUCAAGCAAUCAUUCAGGCGUCUUCGAGGGGUCCUGGGACCUCCCAGGUCCCUCGGUGGAUCCACCACUGCAUAUGCAGUAUGAGAGUUUUAGGUACAUAAGAAAAUAUUAUGGACUUUAUAGUAUAGUCUUAAUGUUAAAAAGAAUAUUAAAAAAAUAGAAAUGGGCAGAAUACAAGUCUAGCAUCAGACUUGUGUGGAAUAGAUUUGCGUUUCCAAGUCAACAACUUGGAAGCAAUUCCAUAAAAAGAAUAAAAAUAUAAAAAGCAACUUGGAAGUAAAUCCAAGGCCACUUAAGACACUAAUCUCUAAUAUUUUUUAACCUGAAUCAAAAUAAUCUACACUAUUUAUGAAAUUACACCAAAAUAACUUUCAUUAUUUUUGAAACUGAACCAAAAUACUUACACUAUUUCUGAAACUGAGCCAAAAUAAUCCACAUUAUUUAUGGAACUACUACAAAAUAACUCGUACUAUUUAUGAAAUUGAACCAAAAUAACAUGCACUAAAUAUGGAAGUGAACAAGAUAAACGAUAUUUCUGAAGUUACAAACUAUUUAUGAAACAAAAUAAAAUAAUCCACACUAUUUUUGGAGUUACAAUAAAAUAACCCACACUAUUUCUAAAAUUGAACCAAAAUAAUCCACACUAUUUCUGGAACUACUACAAAAUAACUCACAUUAUUUAUGAAACUAAACCAAAAUAAUCCACAUUAUUUCUGAAACAACAGCAAAAUAACUUACGCUAUUUUUGAAACAGAACCAAAAUAAUUCAUAGUAUUUCUGUAAGUGAACAAAAUAAACACUAUUUCUAGAAAUACAACAAAAUAAGAACGAGGUUGAACGACAAACACCCAAAACAAACCCAAACAAAAAUCCCUUUUCUUUUCCAAAACUAAAAACAAAAAGAAAAUUAAUUACCAAAUAACCGUUACUGUGCCAAAUGUAGAGAGAAACAGAGAUUAAAUGGGGGAAAUUCCAUUUCUGAAAAAUUGUUGCAAAAAUAUACAUAAUUUUAGAAUUUAAUAAAUUAAAAAGUUCGGGAGGAGUUGCAGAGAAUUAGAAGCUUCUGUUUCUCGUCACUUUGGGUGCAUGAAAGCUUGAACAUUGCCUUGAUCAUCUUUUAGUGGUCUACCUAAUCAAAAAAUGCUUGAGUGUCCUCGUGGUAACAAUACGAUCCCACGCGGCCCUCCCUCACUUCAUUAGGCAAGACUGAGAUAAAACGGGGUUCGUGCUCUGCCUUAAUGGCGGUGAUGAUUCAUUUGGUAAAAUCGUAAUAUUUGUGAAUUGACUAAUUGGCUUGGGUUAGGCUCUAUUAGGGAUAAUUAUAGAAAAAAGUAUUUUAUUGCAGGUUGGGCUCUAAUUCGGCCCGUGUUUUUAAUAUUUGUAAGGUUGGUAUAUGAAUAGUUGUGAUCUUACGGCUACAUCUUAAACUUUUAUUAAUCAUAAAAGUUUAAGGUGAUUUUUUAGAUCACAACUAUUCAUAUACCAACUCUAAGAUCACAACUAUUCGUUAAUCCAAACAGCUUUUUGAAAUUGUGAAAAGUCAUUUCGCCACACUCUCUUCUUGUGCUGGUGUGACAAGAGCAUGAUUUUCUGAAUGCUCCCAUUAAAAAGAUGGUGGGGACCAGCUCGAUUCAUCUUCUUCCCCCCGCAACCCCGACUCUGCAACAAAAAUAUUUCAGAAUCCGGCGUCUUAAAUUUCCCCCGCCUAGCCGCCGUCGAACCCCGCCCAGACUUGCAUAGCUUCCCCUAGUCCCGCCUAAUCCCGCCUAAAAUGCUUUCCGAUUUUGUGGCCGCUUAGAAGUUAAUCGCGGCGGUCGGCCACCGUCCAGCUCCUAGGCCCGGACCAUGUUGAGCCCACCCAAAUAACCCGACGGGCCCCCGUCUCGAUUCGCUCUCGUGCUGGUCAAGUGUAAAACUGUAAAAACUCCAUGGAAGAGCUUCUGCGCGCCUUUUCAUCCUUUUGAGACAUUAUACUUAUCAAAAGAGCAGAGCAAUAUGGUUGCCACUUGCAAGUCUACACUCCCAAAACGCAGCGUUCUUCUCAUCUCUCUCCUUAAUCCUCACACUGGUAUUCUCUCUCUCUCUCUGUAUUUCCUACAGUUUUAGGCAGGUAGGUUGUAUUUUCCGAGAAAAUUAUGUUUGGCUGCUGAGAAACCUGACGAAAAUAAUAGAAAAGGAGACACAUCGGAUUUGGUGGGGUGUAUUAAAUAGUCAAUGUCUUAAUUUUAAUUUCUGUAAUGUUCAAUGAGUUCUUUGAAUUAAGGCCAGCAAUUUGCAGUUACAUUGAAAUCAAAGGAUUUGGGAAAUUAAAACCUAAUUGAAAUUGUAUUUUGUCUACCUAAUUUCGUGUUCGUUGUCUUGUCUGUUUAGUUAAAUACUGAAAUUUGUAAGUGUUUGGUUAUUUGAAGUGAAAAUCUUCUGAUUAAAAGUUAUUAGCUUUAGUUGAUCUCUUACGUUUUUUCGGCAUUUAUGUGCCCAUUGGAUUGGAGAACAGGAUGACUGCAAAGGUUGGUACUGCAUCCACAGUCGAACCUCGCACUGCUGAGAUGUCUGGUACAACGAUGACACCUGCAUCAUCAGCUGGUACACAAAAGGUCUCCAUGUUUGCUGCCAAGGCUGGAUUUGUUAUACCAAAAAACAAGCUGUUGGGUUCACUUGUGCCUGUCUUUCGCGGAAGUAAAAACCUAGGAACCGGUGACGCAGUUAGUGGAGAAAGUAAGAAACAGAUUCAGAGGAAAACAAAAUGGGGCCCUGAUCUCACCCAAGAUGCUUCUGUCAAAAAAGGAAGAGCUUUAGCUUAUCAGGUAUUGUUUGGAUUGUUUGCAAGUCCUGUUCUGGUCAUAUUUCGUUUGAUACUAUGUUAUUUCGUAGUUCUAAGAUCAAAAUUUGUUCUUGGUUUAUGUAUCUUUUUCCCACUUCACCCGCUUUUAUGUUUGCAAAUGUCAAACGUCUCUAAUAUGUUCCCAUCCUCAUAUAGUUUAGAAAUUCAAAUUUAUGGUUUGGAGGCAUUCUUCGCCCCCCUUGUGGGAGGAAUAAAUAUUUCCACCUAGUGGAAGUUCAUUGUUUCCCUUUUACGUUGGGUAUUAAAAUGCUGGUUGUGUCUUCUGUGUGAAUGUUUCACAUGGAAACCUCCCAUUCCAGGUGCCACUAAGUGAUAUUACUGCCUGUUUGGUGGUACAAAUUUUGAGUAGACUCGGGUGGAACAAAUUACACAACAGUUGAAAUCAGAAAUGUUAGAGGAUGAGAAUGAUGAGGACUUACUAUCAGCACCUCAACAUACAAGCUUCAACAAAAGAAAAUUCAAAGAACUUAGCGAAGAAGGCUUUGGUGUAUUUAACACAAUACGUUGAAAUGAAGGAAAGCUUAUUUAUUGAUAUCCCCGAUAAGCUACAAAUAUGUACAUAUACAAGAGUCAAAAUAAACACACAAGAGGGAGCCUUCACAAAGGUUGCUUAGGAGAAGUCUUAGCAGUCGGUAGAGCCCCAGAAAGAGAAGGCACCGGAGGGGGAUCAUUUGGAGCCUCAGUACUGGACAGAACCCUAGAAGGAGGAGGCAUCAGAGGUUGAUCAUUUGGAGCUUCAUUACGCGGUACAGCCCCAGAAGACGAAGGCAAUAAAUGCCUUUGGAACAAACCCACAAAUCUCUGAUGAUCAAGUAAAACCUGACCAUCAGUUUCCUUCAUCUGGUCAAGCUUCCUCUUCAUGUUUGUAGCAUAGUCAUGUGCGAGCCGGUGCAACUGUUUAUUCUCAUGCUUGAGCCCUCUAAUCUCCUGUUUGAGACUCAUCACUUCAGCCGCCAAUGAUUCAACUUGGCGGGUUCGAGCAAAUAGGCGUUGGGCCAUAUUAGACACAGAACCUGCACACUGAACACUGAGAGCCAGCGAAUCCUUAACAGCUAACUCAUCAGACCGUUUGGAAAGUAGUCUGUUAUCUUUGGGAGUGAGAAGGUUCCUGGCCACCACCGCAGCGGUCAUAUCAUUCUUCAUCACGGAAUCCCCAACGGUAAGAGGACCAGUAGGGGAGACGAAGGAUGGGCGCCAUAUGUUGUCUGGAGAAGGCGGGGCUGCCUCUUCAACAAGGUUCAAGUCAAAACGACGGUCGGAGGGGCCAGACAUUUUCAAAGGUGUUGAAGAGAGAAGAGGUCGGACAAAUCAAGAUCUUAGAAGUGCAAGAAUGAAGCUUCUACUGGUGGAGAUUCAAGUGUGCUUUGGAACUUAAUGCCAGCCCUUAUAAAAAUCUGCACUCGACGGAGCUUCAGAAAUCGAAGAGGCGCCUGCUCAGAAAUCGAAGAGGCGUUUGCUUUCUCAAAAGCUGGGCUGCUUAGAGAUCACGAGGGUUGAUCUCAGAAAUCGAAGAGGCGUUUGCUUUCUCAAAAGUUGGGCUGCUCAAAGACCACGAAGGCUGGAUCUCAGAAAUUCGAAGAGGCGCUCGCUUUCUCAAAAGCUGGGCUCCCCAGAGACCACGAGGGCCGAUCUCAGAAAUCGAAGAGGCACCUACUUUUCCAGCCUUGUCAGCACCUGUCACACGCACACUCAGCUUUGCGGAAAUUAUGGGCAUUCUGUCGAAGACUUCUGGGGAAGUAGAAAACACAUGAAUCUUACUGUUCAAUCACCCACUUCCCACACGCAACAAUAGCUCAUGGGUACCACAGAUAACUUUGCCAAAGUUCUCUGCCAAAGUUGAGCACGUGAAGCUUGCAGCUCCCACUACAUCGCUCUGACCAAGAAGGGUAAAAGAAUAGCAAAGAAACAGCACUAACAAAGUUUAGACCCAUAAAUUUUGAAGGUCUAGCUACCAUAUUAUUACCCACAAGGGUAAAGGAACAGUACCACUGCUGGAUAAUUGGACAGUCCCUGUGUGUCAACCUCUGUGCUUCGUGGCAAGGUAGACUAGCAAACAUGCCCAACCUUUACUCACAUUCGAGAAAAACACUCCCAAUAAGAUUGCUUGCUCCAAAAUCGAAGAGGCACCGUCCUCCGAAUCUCGAGAGCCAGACUCCCAACAUGACUACUUUCUUAAAAAUCGAAGAGAGGGUAAAGGAACAGUACCAUUGCUGGAUAAUUGGAAAGUCCUUGUGUGUCAACCUCUGUGCUUCGUGGCAAGGUAGACUAGCAAACAUGCCCAACCUUUACUCACAUUCGAGAAAACACUCCCAACAAGAUUGCUUGCUCCAAAAUCGAAGAGGCACCGCCCUCCGAAUCUCGAGAGCCAGACUCCCAACAUGAUUACUUUCUCAAAAAUCGAAGAGACACUGCUCCCCGAAUCUUAGAGAGCCAGACCCCCAGCGUGACUGCUUUCUCAAAAAUCGAUGAGGCAUCGUUCUUCGAAUCAAUCGAAGAGGCGCUCGCUUUCUCAAAAGCUGGGCUGCUCAGAGACCACGAGGGCCGAUCUCAGAAAUCGAAGAGGCACCUACUUUUCUAGCCUUGUCAGCACCUGUCACACGCACACUCAGCUUUGCAGAAAUUAUGGGCAUUCUGUCGAAGACUUCUGGUGAAGUAGAAAGCACAUGAAUCUUACUGUUCAAUCACCCACUUCCCACACGCAACAAUAGCUCAUGGGUACCACAGAUAACUUUGCCAAAGUUCUCUGCCAAAGUUGAGCACGUGAAGCUUGCAGCUCCCACUACAUCGCUCUGACCAAGAAAGGUAAAAGAAUAGCAAAGAAACAACACUAACAAAGUUUAGACACAUAAAUUUUGAAGGUCUAGCUACCAUAUUAUUACCCACAAGGGUAAAGGAACAGUACCACUGCUGGAUAAUUGGAAAGUCCCUGUGUGUCAACCUCUGUGCUUCGUGGCAAGGUAGACUAGCAAACAUGCCCAACCUUUUACUCACAUUCGAGAAAACACUCCCAACAAGAUUGCUUGCUCCAAAAUCGAAGAGGCACCGUCCUCCGAAUCUCGAGAGCCAGACUCCCAACAUGACUACUUUCUCAAAAUCGAAGAGAGGGUAAAGGAACAGUACCAUUGCUGGAUAAUUGGAAAGUCCCUGUGUGUCAACCUUUGUGCUUCGUGGCAAGGUAGACUAGCAAACAUGCCCAACCUUUACUCACAUUCGAGACAACACUCCCAACAAGAUUGCUUGCUCCAAAAUCGAAGAGGCACCGCCCUCCGAAUCUCGAGAGCCAGACUCCCAACAUGAUUACUUCCUCAAAAAUCGAAGAGACACUGCUCUCCGAAUCUCGAGAGCCAGACCCCCAGCAUGAUUGCUUUCUCAAAAAUCGAAGAGGCAUCGUUCUCCGAAUCUCGAGAGCCAGAUACCACAGACCACUUUUUCAAAGUGCUCUGACAGAGUUAAAACAUGUGAAACUGGACAGCUCCCACUACCGUGCUAUGACCAAGCAGGGUAAAGGAAUAACAUUACUACUUGUUAGGGAGACUCCUAUAUAUGUCGACCUCCAUCCCCAACGGACAGGCAGACCUGCAAAAAUGCUCAACCCUUCAUCAUAUCUGAGAGGGCACUCCCAACGAAGCCUUUCGAAAUAUUCAGCUUUCUUUCCCCCCGAUAAUACCUCUGCAAACAAGCUAUACUAGAGCAAGAAUAUCUCAUAUCAUCAGGGUUAAAAGCAAGAGUAUCCCAUAUCAUGCUUUUUCCCUGUCUUUUCCUUUGGCCUUGUUUUUACCUGCAAGACAAGGAGAAAGAGAGCAAUCAGUCAGCACUUGGAAUCAAGCUUCCAGCCAGGAACUGACUGCCUGGAACCCCUUACCUGAUUACUUACCUGGCAUUGCUCUCGAGUACUCAUCUUCAACAUCUUAUGUUUCCAGGGAAGAUUCCGCAUCUGCUUGAGGAACAGAUAGGGCAAGUGCGAAGGAUACAAGGAAGCAUGUGGAGACAAGCGUAACAGCACACGUGCCGAUACAUCCAUUACUCUGUCAAAAGCAAAAGUAUCCCAUAUCAGCAGGGUGGAACGUACUCUAGAUUUGAUGGACUUGUUUUGACCCUCAAAUUCUUCAGUCGGCCUUAUACUCUGGAGGAAACCAGAAAACCCUCCAGCUCAGUUCAAGAAUAAGCCUGUGGAAAGUUACUUCUUCAAAAGCAAAAGUAUCUCAUAUCAUCUCUUCUCAUUUUUCUUCUCUUUAUCCUUCAUGCUGCUGCAAGAUGGGGAGAAGGUGAACAAUCAGUCGGAGCUCUGAUUGCUUACCUUGUCUGUCACCUCUUUCAGCAGACCCCCUAGCUCGGCGACUUGGGGGACUCCUACUACAUGGUUUGUAUCGCGCUUGACCAAGCCUGAAACUACAAGUAAGCUUCAAGUGAAAUUGAUACAUUACCUUGUGCAUCUCCACCAGUUAAAGAUACCACCCCUGGAUGGAGGAAGAGUACUUCCAGAGAAGAUGCCACAUCUACCUAUGAGACAGAUAAGGCAAGUCAAGACGACUACCACACUCCGAUACUUAGAAGUUUCGUGAUUACGAGAUCAUUCUCCCACAAUAUUUCCUUAAUGUCAUUUGUACUAAAUCAUUCACUUGUACUCACUAAAGGAGAGCUUGAACCUAUGUACUUGUGUAAACCCUUCACAAUUAAUGAGAACUCUUCUAUUCCGUGGACGUAGCCAAUCUGGGUGAACCACGUACAUCUUGUGUUUGCUUUCCUAUCUCUAUCCAUUUAUAUACUUAUCCACACUAAUGACCGGAGCAAUCUAGCGAAGAUCACAAAAAGCGACCGUUUUCGCUACCUAGGAUCUAUCUUGUAAGAGAACGGAGAAUUAGAUGGAGAUCUCAACCAUAGAAUACGAGCUGCAUGGAUGAAGUGUUAGAAUGCAUCCGGCGUGUUGUGUGACCGUCGUAGGCCACUGAAGCUCAAGGGAAAAUUUUAUAGGACGGCAAUAAGGCCAGCGAUGUUGUAUGGCACAGAAUGUUGGGCGGUGAAGCAUCAACACGUACACAAAAUGGGUGUAGCGGAGAUGAGGAUGCUUCGUGGGAUGUGUGGGCACACGAGAAAGGAUAAGAUUGGGAAUGAGGAUAUCCGAGGUAAAGUAGGAGUAGCCGAAAUUGUAGGAAAGAUGAGAGAAAAUCGGCUCCGGUGAUUUGGACAUGUGCAAAGAAGGCCGAAUGACGCUCCGGUUCGAAGAUGUGACUACGGGACAGAGGUUCAGGGCCGAAGGGGUAGAGGAAGACCUAGGAAAACUUUGGAAGAGACUCUAAGAAAAGACUUAGAGUACUUGGAUCUAACGGAGGACAUGACACAAAACCGAGCGCAAUGGCGUUCUAGGAUUCAUAUAGCCGACCCCACUUAGUGGGAAAAGGCUUUGUUGUUGUUGUUGUUGUUGUUGUUAUUCUUGAUUACUUUUGUUUCUAUGUUGAAUGAUGUUUCUAUUCUUAAGCACUGAUGAUAAUAUUCGUCAAUGUAGGACGUUGACCAGUUGGAAUUUGAAAAGCGGGAAGCCAUAGGUGUGUAUGACAGCUUUCUUAGAUUAUACCUUUCUGUAUGUUAUAUUAUAGAUUGCAUGAUUAUUGUUUUCUUGACGAUAUUCAGGUGAGAUUUAAAGUUAAAUCCAAGCUACAAGGCCCCACCUGAUUAUAAACCUUUGUUGAAAGAGGCUACAGUCCCUAUUCCUGUAAGUUUAUCUUCUCAUUCUGCAAUCCUCUGCAACUUUUUCCUAAUUAACUGUUUUUUUAAGAUGUGUCCAAACUGCUGAGAUAAUAUAAGUUAGUUUAUCAUGGUGUGAAAAUGUUCUGUCAAUUUUAGUUGUAUUGAUUUAAAAUAAAACUUAUCCAAGAAAAACAUGUAUGUGGAAUUUCAACCUGGACUCAUAAGUGGUAGUCUUAUCGUACACUUCUACAAUGAUACGUAUGGACCUGAAAUCUGAACAGGUUGGCCGUAAUUUGGAGUUGAGGGGUGGUGAAGAAGGGGCCUCAGAGUACUACGUGAAUUCGAAAUAACUGGUUAAAGUUAUGCAACUUAUGGCUAGAGUCCCUAUUAAUCUGGUGGAAUAGUUUAGAUUUACUCAUUUAAGCGUAUUUAGCAUUGCUUUUUUAGGUUGGUUGUUUGCGAUACUGGUGUUGGUUUGAAUCCUGAUAAUAUUGAUCGUAAGUUCACAUAAAUAAGAAUUAUUUGGUUGUUUUAAGAACUGUCACCCAGUGGCUAGGUUGUAGAGAGCUUGUGUUGCGAAAACAGUCCAUCUAGAAGGACGGCUAUUGUUGCCCAUAUUUUACCUCCCUGAACCCGCAUUCCGGGAUCCACAUGCAUUGAAAUGCCUUUCUAGGAAUUUCUAGUAUGAGUUGACAUGUCAUUAUUUCACAAAGAGGUGAACGGACUGUGGAUACAACUAUUUUAUUACUAAGAGUAAAGAAUGCAAUGGGUUGGUAUGUUUGUUUACCAUUACUUUUAUAAGGUUUCCUUUGGCCAGGGGUGGAGGGUGGGACCUAAGACGCGAGCAUAUAUUAUCCAAUUUCAUGGUUUGCUGAGUCGGCCAGUAUUUGAAUUCUGAUGCUUAGAUGUUUUAAAAUGCUUUUCAGGUGAAAGAAUAUCCUAAAUAUAAUCUUGUUGGCCUAAUAUAUGGUCCUGAAAGUGAUAACCAGAAACAAUUAGAAAAGGUAAGAGUUUUGUGUGUGCUUAUGACGAUUAUGCCAAACACUCGUGAUUACCAUGUGCAUGUUCUGAUGAUCUUCGCGUCGUGUGUGUUUUCUCUAUAUUUCUUUUUGAUUGGUCAAUGCAAAUAAGGAAACCGGAGCCAAGAUUCAAGUCUAUGGUACCAAAGCAGGGACAGGACACAAGGUAAUAUUUCAAUAAAUAAUAUAGAACGGUAAGGAAUCAAUAUCAUGAUAAAUUUGAGAGUCCUGACUCCUCAUCAUCAAUUUUACUGAUUUUCAUCUUUUCUUAAACAUAUUAUUUUAACCCAAAAAAAAAAAAAAUCUAUUGUGGAAUGGUUGCUUCGAGAUGUGCAUAAUGCUCAUGUAGUAUUGACCUUCCCCUUUUUAUUCUUUAACUUAUUUGCAGGCUGAAAUAAAACCAUCUGAUGGGAGUGAAAUCCAUGGUGAAUAUGAAAGCUUAUAUGUUCAUAUAUCAGUUGACACAUAUGAGAAAGUAGAUGCAGCGGUUGCUGUAAUUGAACUCUUAGUCACCUCUGUAUCAGUGAGUUUCCUUUUUAUUUCUAAACAAAAAGCUUUAAGUCCAACAGUUUCUUAAAAUUUCUCUUUCGUGCUAUUUAUUAUGAUUUCUACAGUUGUUCUCUUAGCAUUGUUCUUUUAAUUACUUCCAUAUAGGGAAAUCUGGCAGCGGUUAGCAGUACAGGUGCUUCAGUUUCUGCUGAUAAUGCUCAUGUUCCUAGUCAAGUCCAGGACACUACCACCUCUAAUAUGGUUCCGACUACUGUGGUAAAUCAGGGAAUGGUACAACCAUUGCCAGGACUUGCACAAACUCCACUGGAUGGGCAGUUUCAGUACCCUGGUCCAUUUCUCUCGAGGGGCCCAUCUUCCGCUCCCAUGUAUAUGCCUGGCUUCGCUCUGAAUUCUUUGAGACCUAUCCUCAACAAUCCUUCCCAUAUUUCAACAUCACUUUUCAACCCUGCGUACCUGCCUUCAUCAUUUGGGCUUCCGCCAUCUCUUGUUUCCCCUAGACAAAAUCCACCAACACCACAAUUUUUGCCACAUACAUAUAUGGCUUCCCAGCCUGCAUCAGUUCAAACUAAUGUUUCAGCUCCACUCACAGUCAUGCGAAACCGACCACUGCCUGCUGAGAGCUCUACUGGAUGAUCAAGCGGUCCACCAGUUCCACAACCAGGUGUUGCAUCCAUGCCACCACCUUCAAAUAUAUCAACGGCGAAUAUGGUGUCUUCUGUAAACCCUCCUAUUGCAGCUCCAAGUUUUAUUUCUAUUCCACGGCCUCAAGCGGGACUUCCUUCUACAUCUCUAUCCACAUCUCUGCAAGCAAGAGUUCCAAGUUCUGUUUCUGGAAGUGUUCCAAAUUUCGCUCCCCUAAAACCACCAAUGAUGACGGCUCAAAGCCCUGGCGAUUUCACUUUUCAGCCUCAUCGACCACAGAAUCCAUCCUUCCAAACAGUUCCCCAGCCAAGCAGUCACUUUUCAGCACAUAACGCUUCUCUUGCCAGACCAAUGUUGCCAUCUCCAACACCUCAAGCACCGUCUUUCCAGUUUCCUCAGCCGGGCAGUCAGGUGUUAUCGAGACCACAACUCGGUGACCACAUGGGUCAGCAUCCAUCAGCUCAUAUGUCUGCUGCUCCCUAUGCCAGAAAUUCAACUGCCAUCUCAGUUCCUCCUAGACUCGCAACAUUUCUAGAAUCCAGUACCGUUCUACCUCGGACGCCACACCCACCAAUGAGACCGAGUAACUUCAAUCCACCUCACCAGAUGCCCAAUUUGCCAGGUCCUCUGCCUCCAAGGCCAGGAAAUUAUAUUCAAAUUCAGCAAAACUAUCCUGCUCACGCAACUCGACCUGAGAUCCCACGUGCUCCAAAUCAACAGUUCAGCAACCACCUUGCAUUUUCCUCUGGCAAGUCGGCGUCUGGUCCUGGAGGAGGGCAACAACUGUAUGAUCCGUUCUCACCCACUUCCGCGAAUCAACAGCAGGGAGGUAAUCCAGGGAAGAUGUGAAAGCAAGGGUUUGAUCUACACUAAUGCGAUUUGAUUGC